AUCCAGCUGAUGAGUCCCAAAUAGGACGAAAUGCACAUCCUGGAU
rnacentral:hammerhead_ribozyme from 1 species